rnacentral:rRNA from 1 species
AACGAACGCUGGCGGCAUGCCUAAUACAUGCAAGUCGAACGAGAUCUUCGGAUCUAGUGGCGCACGGGUGCGUAACGCGUGGGAAUCUGCCCUUGGGUUCGGAAUAACUUCUGGAAACGGAAGCUAAUACCGGAUGAUGACGUAAGUCCAAAGAUUUAUCGCCCAAGGAUGAGCCCGCGUAGGAUUAGGUAGUUGGUGAGGUAAAGGCUCACCAAGCCGACGAUCCUUAGCUGGUCUGAGAGGAUGAUCAGCCACACUGGGACUGAGACACGGCCCAGACUCCUACGGGAGGCAGCAGUAGGGAAUAUUGGACGAUGGGCGAAGGCCUGAUCCAGCCAUGCCGCGUGAGUGAUGAAGGCCUUAGGGUUGUAAAGCUCUUUUACCCGGGAUGAUAAUGACGGUACCGGGAGAAUAAGCACCGGCUAACUACGUG